rnacentral:rRNA from 1 species
AGAAUCAACGCUGGCGGCGUGCCUAACACAUGCAAGUCGCACGAGAAAGGGGACUUCGGUCCCUGAGUACAGUGGCGCACGGGUGAGUAACACGUGAAUAAUCUACCUCCGAGUGGGGAAUAACUGAGAGAAAUCUUAGCUAAUACCGCGUAACACUUACGAGUCAAAGCAGCAAUGCGCUUGGAGAGGAGUUCGCGGCAGAUUAGUUAGUUGGCGGGGUAAUGGCCCACCAAGACGAUGAUCUGUA